GGCCCGCACAAGCGGUGGAGCAUGUGGUUUAAUUUGAAGCAACGCGAAGAACCUUUCCAGGUCUUGACAUCCUUUGACAAUCCUAGAGAUAGGACGUCCCCUUCGGGGGCAGAGUGACAGGUGGUGCAUGGUUGUCGUCAGCUCGUGUCGUGAGAUGUUGGGUUAAGUCCCGCAACGAGCGCAACCCUUGAUUUUAGUUGCCAGCAUUCAGUUGGGCACUUUAAGGUGACUGCCGGUGACAAACCGGAGGAAGGUGGGGAUGACGUCAAAUCAUCAUGCCCCUUAUGACCUGGGCUACACACGUGCUACAAUGGACAGAACAAAGGGCAGCGAAACCGCGAGGUUAAGCCAAUCCCACAAAUCUGUUUUCAGUUCGGAUCGCAGUUUGCAACUUGACUGCGUGAAGCUGGAAUCGCUAGUAAUCGCGGAUCAGCAUGCCGCGGUGAAUACGUUCCCGGGCCUUGUACACACCGCCCGUCACACCCCGAGAGUUUGUAACACCCGAAGUCGGUGAGGUAACCUUUAUGGAGCCAGCCGCCGAAGGUGGGACAGAUGAUUGGGGUGAAGUCGUAACAAGGUAGCCGUAU
rnacentral:rRNA from 1 species